CUUCAACGCGCCCAGCAGCAGCGGCCGGCCCUCGGGACGUUCCUGGCCGUAGGUGGCCAGCAGCGCCUGCGCUUC
rnacentral:antisense_RNA from 2 species